rnacentral:rRNA from 1 species
GCCGCGUGAGCGAUGAAGGCCUUCGGGUCGUAAAGCUCUGUUCUAAGGGAAGAAGUAUGACGGUACCUUAGAAGGAAGCCCCGGCUAACUACGUGCCAGCAGCCGCGGUAAUACGUAGGGGGCGAGCGUUAUCCGGAAUCAUUGGGCGUAAAGGGUGCGUAGGCGGUUAUGCAAGUCAGGGGUGAAAGGCUUCGGCUCAACCGUAGUAAGCCUUUGAAACUGCAUAACUUGAGUGCAGGAGAGGAGAGUGGAAUUCCUAGUGUAGCGGUGAAAUGCGUAGAUAUUAGGAGGAACACCAGUGGCGAAGGCGACUCUCUGGACUG